UAUUAUUCUUUAGACACCUAUUAUUCCGAGCAUAAUUUACAUUUAGGCCAAUCUGAUGAUCACUGAAUGAUGGUAACACAUGUAACACAGAAGUGGUUGGACACGAUCACGUGCACCACUUUUUUUGCUGAGCUGGCACAAAAAUUGCCAAUGAGCUAUGUAAACUUUGCACGGAAUCAUGGAUUAAUUUUAUGCCACAAUCAUAAUAAUUAUUAUGUUAUUCUCAUAUUAAUUCUAACAUUUUACGAAUUGUUUUGACCUCCGUCCUCUUAAAGCUACUCUAAUCAUUAGAGUUUUUCUCCUGCAAUGUUAUGGCUUCUUAUUAAUUUUGUUAACUUGAUGUAGUCUUCAACUAUAGCUUGACGUAUAUUAGUCUGACUUUGUCAUGUGUGUUAAAAUUAUAGCCUAUAAUAAUACAGGAUUGAACUCAACACAUAAUUGUGGCUUGCAGGAACUUAUACACGGCAUACUUACAAAAUUCAUGAAUAUGAAUUGCUGUAUUAAGAGUUCUGUAUACGUGUAGUUUGCGGCUACUAGAGUCCAACUCGGUAGUUCUUGCCGGAAUUAUUGUCCCACCAACUCUUUCUAUCUUCAGACUCCAAACACAAGGCAAAGUCAGUGCAGCCAGGGUUAAAGUACGGUAGGUCAAACGCAUAUCUAUUGGUUUGUUCUCCUUUGUAAUUAGUCCUGAUCAAGGUGGCUGAAACGUCUGCGCAUGAUUUCCAUUCAUCAAGUGUGUAAUGAACAAACAACUUUUUUGCUGGUACAGAGUCAGACACCCGUACGAAUCCCGUGAACUCAUUUCCACACCCAUACAAGCAGUAUUCUAGAGAUAUCUUUUUUCUGUGAACACGGGAUGCAAAGCAACCUUCACAAAAGAGUGGCUGAUCAAACUGGAAGAUAGUAGGACUUGAGAGUUUGGUAUCAAUAGCAAUGUACAGAGGUUCUUGUUUGGUAACAGUACCCCCUUGGAAUCUGUCAAUAUGAUCUGCCAGGCCCUACAUAAAUGAGAUACACACUACUCAAUACUUUUUCUAUACCAUCUUUUGUAACUUACUGGUUCAUUCUGAAUGCAUAACAUGUCUGAAACAGAGAGUUUCAAUGGUUCGUCUUGCUCAGUGUCGCAAGGCAAGGAAGCAUCGACAAUCUCACAAUGAUCAGGCAACGGCCUACUGGUAACCUCUUGAUUCUCUAUAAACUUCUCGAGUUUUUCCAAGAGCUCAGCAGAAGGUAUUCUAAAGAUCACAACAGGUUCACUUGCUACACUCAGCAUAACAAUGCCUUCAUUGUUCUGAGAUUCCACAGGGAAAAUUGCAAUAAACAGUUCAAAGCAAUAACAUCCAGGUCUCACCUGUAGAUAUUCUUGAUCUACCGUAUUUGUGUGAGUGGAGGCAUCAGGAGACCAGGUCUCACCAUCAGCUGGCCCGAUACUGGUCCUUGCUGAGGUAAAAUGGCUGGUGGUAGCUAUUAUAAUAGUGGUGGGAGUGGUAUCAGCUGGUCCGAUACUGGUCCCUGCUGAGGUGGAGUGACUGGUGGUAGCAACUGCAGUGGUGGUCUCACUAUCAACUGGCCCGAUACUGGUCCCUGUUGAGGUAGUGGCAGCAACCACAGUGAUGGGAGUGGAGGUCUCACUAUCAACUGGCCCGAUACUGGUUCCUGUUGAGGUAGAGUAAUUGGUGGCAGCAACCACAGUGAUAGGAGUAGCUCGAUUUUUUGCAGACCUUGACAUUACUUUUUGCUUGAGCUUUUCCUACAAUUUCACAAGGAUGUGAAAAUGUUACAGCUAAACACUAAUCUCCCGACACUGUAUACAGUAAUGGCUAGUAUAUCUACUUAUAAUGGUGUCAAUGAAUUACCUUCAUUUUAGGAUUUGUAUCAGUUUGAUUGUCAUCAAUGGGGAUGACUGGAGUUGAGCAACCUCUACAGAAGAUGAUCUUGGUAACAGUCUUGAUGACCUUCUUAAACCUUCUACGUAUUCUCUUCCCCAUCUUCUUCAAUACUUGCAUGAAUAAAUGAAAUUCUCUGCACGCUAGAUCGCUAUUGGAGACCGCACAGGCAAACGCUAGAGCGCGAUGGAUCCAAGUCGCACGUGAUGCGUAUCGCGAUCUCUGAUGAUGAGCAUGUAGUUGGGCGGAGCUAGAUAUAGGCUUCGCCCAAGUAUAAUCAUAGGAAAGGGAUUGGAAACGCAUCACGUGCACCAUUGUUUUCAACAGAGUCUGGAUGGCACAGUCCUACCAUAGAUGUAGGAGAGAGGGAUUGGAAACGGAAGUAGAUGUCAAUGUACUUCACAUAUGACCUCGAUAAACAUCCGCGCCUCGCUUAAUGAGGGCUAAUCUAUUCCCCAGGAACUUCGCGGGUAACUGAGAUUAUUGCACAUCUAGGAUUUUAUGAGUUGUCACUAGUAUUCUGUCAAGUUUUCCAGUAUCCAGUGCAACUGUGCUUUAUAUAGAUAGUGAAUAACCAUUAUUCAAGCUCUAUUUACUGUUGCAACUAUCUUCUUCAUUGAAUUUAGCAAUACCUCGCAAGCCAAAACUUACUGAGUACGCUGAAGAAAAGAAGACAGAAGAAUACCCCUCCUCUCUACACCCCUACACGUCACCGCCCUCGUAAAUGUUAUCGGCUGUUCCGGCUAUAUAUACACCCUUGUAUACCUCACCAGCUUCUCUCCAUCUAAGACUGUCUGAUUAGAGUGCUAAACUAAUCAUAAUUAUAGCUGUAUAAUAAUCAUUUUUAUCGUGUAAGUUUUUGUUAAUGUUGUUCGGUUUGAUCCCACUCGUUUUACACUUAGAAAGCAACUGGCAGUGCUGUGGAGUGUUUUUGCUGUCUCCAAGUGUAUGUAAUUAUACUUAAUGAAUUGGAAAUUGAAAUGUACGCUCACCAGCCUAGUAUAUAUAUAUAAUUAUAGUACAAUUGAUUCAUCAAAAGUGAAAACAAUAAAUUAUUAUUAAGAAAGUUACAUGGUGUAUUAUGUAUCUUGUCGUAUGAAUGAUCAUGGUUAUUGCCUCAAACUAGUGGACUUCUUGAUGGUUUUCUUUUUCAUUUAAUUAAGUUGGCAGCAAAAGAGAAGCCUCUGACAGUCACAAAUACAUUCACAAUUUCAGGGAACUAAGCAUCCUCUGAUGAUUUUAUAUCUACUGUGAAACAAGUAUCCAAUACCACUAGCUCUGUACAUUCUCCUUACUAUUACCAUGUACCACCAAUGCACUGUUGUGUUGAUUGUGUCUCUUUCCCUCUUCUUUCACCGCUUAUGCAAUGAGUUUUCCUCAUUUUGAGGCAAGAAAAGAAGACAAGAAAGCGAGGCGCGGAUGUUUUCCGAGGCCCACUUCCGUUUCCAAUCCCUCUCUCUACACCUAUGGUCCUACUUACGAUUUUUAAUGUUAUUCAUUGCUAGUCAAAAGAUCAUUUGCUGUUUUUAAAGCUAUAUUUUUGGACCUCAAGAUCAUUCUUUCAGCCUUCAAGCCAAUCAAGAUGUGAAGCAAAAAGCUCGUAAGAAAAAAUUCAAGCCAUCCUCGACCUCAACCAGAUCCUACCCUCUCUCGACGAUAUAAAUUCAACCAUAAGACACUUAGUAACCUCACCUGUCACCUCAUCAUUAAGUAUACAUAUAUACAUGUUUAUUUUUGCUUGUGUGUAUACACUGUAGUUUUGCAACCACUUACUUUAAACAUUAUAUAAUAUAAUUUAUUGACAUCCAUUAGAGUACAGUAUUACACUUAUGAUUAGUGUCAAGACUCACAAAGGGAGUUUAGUAAGAUAAUAAAUACAUUGUUGUCGUGUUUAUAAUUAUGUAACUAAAAUAGAUCUAGCUUUUUUUUACUGAUAUGGAUGCCAUCAUGAAGCCCUUAUCCUUUAACUACACUGUCCACAGUAUGAGCUUAGACAUGCUUAGGGCUCCAGCUUGAGAUACCACAAUUAUACCAUGUGGCUUCGAUUUACGCCGCAAUGGAGGGCCUGUAAUCGAGGCUACAAUCCGUAAGUAGGAUUGUACCGUAUGACGUAAUGCGUUUCCAAUCCCUUUCCUUUGUACUUACUUAACUUAGCCAGUGCAGUUCAGAUGGAGGUGCAAGCCAAGGAACCUUUAGACACUCCUUUAGACACUAAACAAGACUACAGAUUGCCAAGAGCAAUGGACAUGCAGAUGUUGGAGCGCAGAAUAGCUCCAGAUGGUCAUCGUAACAGAACUGAUCAUGAAACGGACAAAAGAAAGGCAAUGUUAGAAGCCAAAAACACAAAGUUAGAAGCCAAAAACGGUUGCUGUGAUCUCAGUCGUGAUGACACUAUUGAUGGAGCUAAAAAGAAAUCUGCUCAACGAACUCGCAUGAAACAAGGUAACAAAAAAUCCAGUCACCACGGCAAUGGCAUAAUGAGCACAGAUGGGAGUAACGAAGCGACGAAUGCAGCACCCCCACCAAUUAACACAACUGCUUCUUUGGACUCUGUGAACAGUUAAAAAAGGCUCGUUAGAAAUUAUCCACAUAGAUACAAGAUAUAAUUAUAAUUUUUACGCACUUGUUACAGUACUGUAUACGUGUUGUAUGUAUUUGUGUUUAUCAAAUCAUUCAUUUUUAGCUUUCAUAAACAAUCAUUGAGUAUAAUUUUAUGUGAUCAUUGAUUGAUAAC